rnacentral:rRNA from 1 species
AGUGAACGCUGGCGGUAGGCCUAACUCAUGCCAGUCGAACGGCAGCACAGUAAGAGCUUGCUCUUACGGGUGGCGAGUGGCGGACGGGUGAGGAAUACAUCGGAAUCUACUUUUUCGUGGGGGAUAACGUAGGGAAACUUACGCUAAUACCGCAUACGACCUACGGGUGAAAGCAGGGGAUCUUCGGACCUUGCGCGAUUGAAUGAGCCGAUGUCGGAUUAGCUAGUUGGCGGGGUAAAGGCCCACCAAGGCGACGCUCCGUAGCUGGUCUGAGAGGAUGAUCAGCCACACUGGAACUGAGACACGGUCCAGACUCCUACGGGAGGCAGCAGUGGGGAAUAUUGGACAAUGGGCGCAAGCCUGAUCCAGCCAUGCCGCGUGGGUGAAGAAGGCCUUCGGGUUGUAAAGCCCUUUUGUUGGGAAAGAAAAGCAGCAGGUUAAUACCCCGCUGUUCUGACGGUACCCAAAGAAUAAGCACCGGCUAACUUCGUG